rnacentral:rRNA from 1 species
UACGAAGGGGCUAGCGUUGCUCGGAAUCACUGGGCGUAAAGCGCACGUAGGCGGCUUCUUAAGUCAGGGGUGAAAUCCUGGAGCUCAACUCCAGAACUGCCUUUGAUACUGAGAGCUUGAGUUCGGGAGAGGUGAGUGGAACUGCGAGUGUAGAGGUGAAAUUCGUAGAUAUUCGCAAGAACACCAGUGGCGAAGGCGGCUCACUGGCCCGAUACUGACGCUGAGGUGCGAAAGCGUGGGGAGCA